CCUACGGGAGGCAGCAGUAGGGAAUGUUCGGCAAUGGGCGCAAGCCUGAACGAGCAAUGCCGCGUGAAGGAGGAAGGUCUUCGGAUCGGAAAGUUCUGUUGAAGGGGAAAAAGAGCGGAGAGAGGAAAUGCUUUCGGAUUGAUAUUACCUUUCGAGGAAGUCACGGCUAACUACGUGCCAGCAGCCGCGGUAAUACGUAGGUGGCGAGCGUUAGCCGGAAUGAUUGGGCGGAAGGGGUGCGGAGGCGGCCUGCUAAGUCUGGGGUAAAAGGUACCGGCUCAACCGGUACAGGCUCUUGAAACUGGCGGGCUAGAGCGCAGGAGAGGGCGGUGGAACUCCAUGUGUAGCGGU
rnacentral:rRNA from 1 species